rnacentral:rRNA from 1 species
UGGGGAAUUUUGGACAAUGGGCGAAAGCCUGAUCCAGCAAUGCCGCGUGUGUGAAGAAGGCCUUCGGGUUGUAAAGCACUUUUGUCCGGAAAGAAAUCCUUGGCUCUAAUACAGUCGGGGGAUGACGGUACCGGAAGAAUAAGCACCGGCUAACUACGUGCCAGCAGCCGCGGUAAUACGUAGGGUGCAAGCGUUAAUCGGAAUUACUGGGCGUAAAGCGUGCGCAGGCGGUUUGCUAAGACCGAUGUGAAAUCCCCGGGCCCAACCUGGGAACUGCAUUGGUGACUGGCAGGCUAGAGUAUGGCAGAGGGGGGUAGAAUUCCACGUNUAGCAGUGAAAUGCGUAGAGAUGUGGAGGAAUACCGAUGGCGAAGGCAGCCCCCUGGGCCAAUACUGACGCUCAUGCACGAAAGCGUGGGGGAGCAAACAGGAUUAGAUACCCU